rnacentral:lncRNA from 1 species
GGGGGGUCAAUUCCAUCUUGACUCACAACUGACUACGCAAGUACUUGACUGCACCCAGUGACCUUCCGUCACUGAAUUAGAAAUUCAGGUAGUCCGGUACCAAAGUACAGUGAGUUGCUUACUAGUCACAGGUUGCGGUCUCAGGUCAGAGGGCCAAACUUAUACCCAUAUCCACUCGGAACAUCUCUCGACAGUAGAGCGUUCCGGAAUUAGUCACGUUUAGUGAAAUGUACUUCUACACUUCACUUGUGUGGCAUACCAGUGUCUCCACACUCCUUGGUUAAGAGGACAACCAACGUAUAUGUCACACAACGACCUAAUCUCGAUAAUGUU